AGUGAACGCUGGCGGUAGGCCUAACACAUGCAAGUCGAACGGCCGCACAGUAAGAGCUUGCUCUUACUGGUGGCGAGUGGCGGACGGGUGAGGCAUACAUCGGAAUCUACUUUUUCGUGGGGGAUAACGUAGGGAAACUUACGCUAAUACCGCAUACGACCUACGGCUGAAAGCAGGGGAGCUUCGGACCUUGCGCGAUUCAAUGAGCCGAUGUCGGAUUAGCUAGUUGGCGGGGUAAAGGCCCACCAAGGCGACGAUCCGUAGCUGGUCUGAGAGGAUGAUCAGCCACACUGGAACUGAGACACGGUCCAGACUCCUACGGGAGGCAGCAGUGGGGAAUAUUGGACAAUGGGCGCAAGCCUGAUCCAGCCAUACCGCGUGGGUGAAGAAGGUCUUCGGGUUGUAAAGCCCUUUUGUUGGGAAAGAAAAGCAGCAGGUUAAUACCCCGCUGUUCUGACGGUACCCAAAGAAUAAGCAACGGCUAACUUCGUG
rnacentral:rRNA from 1 species